rnacentral:miRNA from 1 species
AUUGGGUUGGCCAAAAAGUUCACUUAGGUUUUUUGAUAAGAUGGUACAGGAAAACCCAAAUGAACUUUUUGGCCAAUCCAAU